rnacentral:rRNA from 1 species
UACGGAGGGUGCAAGCGUUGCUCGGAAUCACUGGGUGUAAAGCGCGUGUAGGCGGUUCAUUAAGUCCGAUGUGAAAGCCCUUGGCUUAACCAAGGAAGUGCAUCGGAAACUGGUGAGCUUGAGUGUGGAAGAGGGAAGCGGAAUUCCGGGUGUAGCGGUGAAAUGCGUAGAUAUCCGGAGGAACACCAGUGGCGAAGGCGGCGUCCUGGUCCACAACUGACGCUGAGACGCGAAAGCGUGGGGAGCAAACAGG